rnacentral:pre_miRNA from 1 species
UCACUAAGGGAUUGGUCCAAAGCCCAUUGAAGCCAAUAGAAAGACUUCUAUUGACUUCAUUGGGCUUUGGAUCAGCGCCUAAUUGA